CUUAUAAUGUUGACAGAAAUAAGUAGCAAAAUCAUCAGGCUGAAGGCUGCUGAUGGUGAGAGUGAACUCUGUUCCAGAUCCACUGCCACUGAACCUGGAUGGG